rnacentral:rRNA from 1 species
UACGUAGGGUGCGAGCGUUGUCCGGAAUUAUUGGGCGUAAAGGGCUCGUAGGCGGUCUGUCGCGUCGGGAGUGAAAACUCAGGGCUUAACCCUGAGCCUGCUUCCGAUACGGGCAGACUAGAGGUAUGCAGGGGAGAACGGAAUUCCUGGUGUAGCGGUGAAAUGCGCAGAUAUCAGGAGGAACACCAGUGGCGAAGGCGGUUCUCUGGACAGUUCCUGACGCUGAGGCACGAAGGUCAGGGGAGCAAACGGG